GGUGUGGCUCAGUGGUGGAGCCCAUGCCUUUGCAUGUGUGACAUCACAGGUUCAAUCCCUGUCACACACA
rnacentral:tRNA from 1 species